CAAGAAUAUAACAAAAAAUAUAGAUAUAUAAUUAUUUUUUGUCAAACAAACAUUUAUUUGGGAACUAUAUGACAAACAGGAGGCAAUGAGAUCUCAGCUGAACGGGCUACAUAGUUGGAACCCCCCCCCCCACCAAAAACCCCCAUAAAAUUCCACUCAAAAUCACUUUUCAUUUAUUUUUCUCUUCCUUUCAUUUCCUUUUUCAAAACGAGCAUGUACAAAUAAACGUUCACGUGUCUCUAGAAAGGAGAGAGCGCUACAUACUUCACCAGCCAGCUCAGCGCUACUGUAGUCAUUCAGCUUUAUUCUCUACGCGAGGAUAGAAAGAGUACAAAUUAUACCUCAAAUGUAUUCUUUUCAAGUUACAAUACGUGUGAUUCAUUUUGUUGUUGUUUCGUUUUCAGCCAUCAAUGUAUUAAAAAGAAAGAAAAUAUAUCAAGCGAAUAUACAAUGCAAUCUUUCAGUAAUAAUUUAGCUAAUAUUAUUAACAGCAUGAGCUAAGAAUUCAUGUACAUAUUGCCAGUCAUUGGGACAGUGGACGGGGAGAUAACAUAACACAGUCUGCUUUAGGACAGAUGAACAAUGUCAAAGGUAAGGUACAGUGGCAUUGCCCUCUCGUGCCUAGCAGUACCGCUCUCUAAUUGGACUGUUGCUUUAGAAGGUACCAAGGCUCUCUCCUAUCAUUGGCUACCUGCCGUGUGACCAGCUACUGUUACCUGAGGGGUUAGGCGCCUGACAUACGAGCCUGAGCCAGACAGGUAGAACGGCUAUAUCACACCGAAACAACUUCAAAAACACGAGGAAAGACCUUUACUGUAAACAGAAUGAAGAAGAAACAUAUCAUAUUUUCACUUCCCUUUAAAUUGACAUAAUUCAAGGACUUCACUGUUCCAUUCACUUCAUGUGCUCUGUUAAUUGUUUUGGGAAAGUAGAAGAGCAAAGUGGUCUUUGAUACUGUGUAACACUUCAGUAUGUUCUGAUGACAAUGAGAUGGCAGAUGCCUUGCAGAGUACGCCUAUAAACCUGACACUAACUUGACUGUACACAGUCUGUAUCUAUCUGGACCACAGGGGACUGUAGGUAACUGGGCAAGCGCAGUUGUUAGAAGAGCUGCUGCUCAACAAGACCAACUUCAUUUUAGAAAGGCACUCUAGUGACCUUAUUAACGACAACACAACAAACAUGGUGGGCCUCGGGCAGGUAGGCCGGUAUUGCGUUUAGUUCUUCCAGGUCCUGUUUGUGAGGAGGGAAGGGAGGUAGCAGAGGACAGUUUGGCAGCAGCUUCUAUCAAAGGCAGGAGGAACCAGACCAGUUAGUCUGCCUGUGUGGACUGGAAAUCAUGCUCGUCAGUGGUUGGAUGGCUGGGCCUGGGGGAGACUGUGGGUCUGAACCACAAGGUCAUUUAAAGACUUAAUACUAAAGCCUUCUACUAUAAUGCCCUGUUCUUAGAACCAGAAGAGCAACACAAACAAAAGAGCAUGUUAACUUAGCUUCUCAACUUAGCUUCUCGAGAGAAAGAGGGGGGGAGUGGUGAGAGAGAAAGAAAGAGAGAGAGAGAGAGGGAGAGGGAAGAGAGAGAGAGAGGGAAGAGAGAGAGGGGG
ensembl:lncRNA